AGAGGAGAAAAGUACUGUGGGGACUGUAGUAGUCCUUCUCUUCUGAGAACCAGGUAUAUCCACUACAUGACGUUAUGAUGUGGAAUACCAAUAACUGAAAAUCACAAAACCAUGACAGAGAGGAAGAGUGCUCAUGGAGAGAACUGUUCGUGGUCAGCUCCAGGAGGUGCUGCUUGGAGCCACAUUUCUGGCAACUUUGUCAUCACGGGACCGAAAGCCUCCAGCAAAGCCUCAGCCAGACAGAGCAGAAUUAAACCAGCUGAGUAAGUGCAAAAGACCUUAAGGUUGCAAACAGAAGAUUUAACAAUUUCCAGGAUGUUUUAGAGGUUCAAAACAUUAGUCCCAUCACCCUGUCCAUCUUCCAACACAACCUUUUCCUGUGUUAUUUGCAGUUAAUAUUUAUGACAGUUAGCAAUUGUUUGCCCUAAUUAAUGAGCUAGAGAUUAAAUAAGAUGUUUGUUUAUAUAUAUAUAUAUUUUAAAUAAACACAUCCACAACCAAGUUACAAGCAUCCCCUUCAACUGAGGAAUGCUAACAUCACGAGUACUGUAGCACUCAUGCAUAUCAUAACCACCUCCUUUCUCCUGCAAAAGAAUCCAUGGAAGCCUACAGCUAAUGCAAGACAUUCAGUUACAGCAUGAUCACACCAGACAAUGUAAUAUCCAUUUGAUACAAAACCAAAAACUGUUUGUCAGACAAAUUCCGAGCUGGACUAACUGAAAGGGUCUGAUUUUUUCAACUGAUUUUUUAAGAUUAAUGUCAGACUUUGGUGAGAGGCAGUGCAAAUGGGAUAUUGUUUUGCUUUAUACCACUCAUCUGUAAAGAACACAAUUCCCAGGUCUAGCAAGUCACUUCCUAAAAGGAAUAAAUUUUAAAAAACGUUCAAAAUAUUAAACUAGUUCCAUUUCUGAAUGGAAUUGUCAUGUGCAAAUGAGGCAGAGAUGGGUUCUGGGGCUGUUCUCCCUGUCAGAACGGAGCAGUAGAGCUGACCAUUGUAAUUUUAGUUUUGAUAUUACAGUCUUCAACUCAUUUGGAAAGAAAGCCUACAGGAGGAGAUUUGAUUACGAUUCUCUCCCUCAUUCCUACACUCCCUACUCACACCAACCUUAAUGAUUCUAUGAUUCUGUGGUUCCCAGCUCAGUCUAGGGGACAAGCAGAUCUGCAAUGGCUCAACUAGAUUAGAAAGCUGCAUGAUUUAGUGCUGGUAUAGAAUUCAUUUUUACCUUCAGAGAGAUAGAGUAUCUGCAUUAAGUAUCUGCCUGUUUUAGAUUUUGAUCUCCUAGCCCCACAUUAUUGUGACACUAACCAGCUUUCAGAGUGUUUUCUCCCUCAGCCCACCUGCAGACUUGGGCAGUGCUCUGUCCCCUUUACAUUACACCUCAGGAUCAAAGGUGCAGUGUUUCUUGCUUCUAGCUAAUAAGGAAAUACUUAAUCUGACAAGAAUUAAAUUGGUAUUUCAGAUGCUAGGCCAGUGGUGAAAAUACUGCAGAGAGUGAUUUUAACCAUUCAUAAUACAUACCCCAGAAGUUCCCCAAUAAACAUGCAGAUGUCUGUCUGAUGAUUUCAAAGACAAUGACAACAGGCUCGCUUUCCUAGUCACCUUUCACAGACUCUUUAGUCUGGGAAAUCACAGGUUAAGCACCUCUACUCUAAAACCUCAGCAGAGAUUUUUCAUAUCCAGGGUUUCUGCUUCUGAAAUUUCCCUCAAAGGGAACCUGCUGCCAACCAGCAAUCUCCACUUGGUGAACUCCUCUCCAGCUGCUGGAAUAGGCUUGGCUUCAGCUUUGCUCAGCACCCAAAGAGUUUUACCAUCAGUCAGCAAAAGUAAAAGCAUUACAAGUCAACAGCAUUAAUCUCACGGUCUCUGAAGGCUGGAAUUUAUUCAUUUAAUUAUUUCCCACUUGUUCUCUACAGCCCAUGUGAUCCCACAGCACUGGGUGCCAGUCACACCACUGAUAUAUUGACUAAUAAACUGAAUCUUGGCUGGAGAUCAGCAAACAAUUCAGAGAUCAAAGCCAAUUACGAUGGAGAAAUCUGCUGAACUUGUACCAAACAGUAAGAUCUGUUCAUAUGAAGAAAGAGAAAAAUGAUCACUGUAAUAGCUAAACCAUUGAAAUGCUGUCAAAAGGAUACAUCAGGGUAAGUAAAGUCAGUCCCAGCCAGCCAGCAUUCGGACAUAAUUUAAAGUAACAUUUGCACUAAGCUGAUAAUGCCAGGCUGUGUACUGCAAAAAGGCAGCGGUUUGUGUUCAGACAAAGCUAGGUUCUGGGGCAGACAAGGCCUUCUUAUGUCCUAAACAAUACAUUUUUGGAGCUGCCAGCAACCUCAUCCCCAAGAUCUUUACUCAGAAACAAAGUAGACCACUGCAAAUCUGUGGCUCUAAAUGAAUUUUGAGUGGUUGAGAACAUUUCUGGAACUGACUAAAGCAGGCUAUUUUCCUGUGACUCAUUUUUGCCUGAACUCUUGCAGUUUCCACAUCUUCACCACCCUCCCCCUGUGCACGUUUGCCAGGCUCUGUGGGUUAAGGACCAGCUGAAGGCAGAAAUGCGUUCCUGAAGAGAUUGCUCCCAGCAGCAAGGGAGCUUGCUUCUGCAAGGAGAGCAACAUCUCAGCGACAUGUGUAGCCCAGCACACAACAGGGAGGCUGCAUGCCUCCUGGAUGAAGUAGCACUGUCUUUUUAGUCAUCAUGUUAGCCUGAAUGAGGACUGGAAUCCUAAGGUUUAUAAAGCUAAAGGGUAUUUCAACCUCCUCCUACUGAGCUUAAUUAAAAACACAACUAAGCAUAAAGCCGUGGCAGCACUCAGCUGCAAGUUGUAUUGUCAGCAGUCCACAUCUAGCAAGGAGGACCCGGGAGUUAUUUAAAGCUGUGAUCAUGGGUAAUUACCUUGCCAAGCAGCCAGGGUAAAGCUGAUGCUUAUUAUUCUCACUCUUACACCAUUCAAUCUUAAUCACCUUUUAAAAAAUGAAUAUUGUAAGAAACCAAGGCUCUUUUUUUUUUUUUUCCCCUGUGAACGGCUGAAAAGAUUUAUCAGCUCUGCUCUAUUUAGGUUCCAUUGGGAAUGCAGGGCCUACUUCUUCAAGCAACUUCAAAAAUCCCACCCAAAGUAUGAUGAGCCAAAUCCCCAGGGCCAUCAGCUCCCAGAGGGCUAAUGCAGAUACACACCCAGGGCAAGUAAUCAGCAUCGGCAGUGGAUCUGCAUGCAUACACUGGUGCAUUUGACAAACACAUUUCCUGAAUGACGUGUCAUUGCUCUGGUGGUUCUCAAACAUUAAAAUCAGGAAGAAGCAUAAAAAGAUA